rnacentral:rRNA from 1 species
GUGGGGAAUAUUGGACAAUGGGCGAAAGCCUGAUCCAGCCAUGCCGCGUGUGUGAAGAAGGUCUUCGGAUUGUAAAGCACUUUAAGUUGGGAGGAAGGGCAGUAAGUUAAUACCUUGCUGUUUUGACGUUACCGACAGAAUAAGCACCGGCUAACUUCGUGCCAGCAGCCGCGGUAAUACGAAGGGUGCAAGCGUUAAUCGGAAUUAUUGGGCGUAAAGCGCGCGUAGGUGGUUCAGUAAGUUGGAAGUGAAAUCCCCGGGCUCAACCUGGGAACUGCGUUCAAAACUGCUGAGCUAGAGUACGGUAGAGGGUGGUGGAAUUUCCUGUGUAGCGGUGAAAUGCGUAGAUAUAGGAAGGAACACCAGUGGCGAAGGCGACUACCUGGACUGAUACUGACACUGAGGUGCGAAAGCGUGGGGAGCAAACAGGAUUAGAUACCCGAGUAGUCC